ensembl:lncRNA
CCCAGUCCGUGUAUUUGUACUGUGGGAUUCCAGUUCCAUGUUUUACAGUAGCUAGACAGUGCGAGGGACAUGUGAAAAAUGUAAGGCCAGCAUACUUCUGAGUAAAGGUAAACUAAAGUAUACAAAUGCCCCGACCUCAGUUCUUAUAACAAUAAGCAAUCUCAACAGUCGUAUGUUAUUGGCGACGAGUGAAACGCACAAGAGAAGAAUGCAAUUUACAAGACGAACUACGUGCGUACGAGCCGUGGUAAAGAGCAGAAGCAGGGGUUUCCUAGACCUCAGCCGCAACCUCAUGCUCUGGGCAGUGACCUCAAUGGUUUUCUACAGUCUCUCCCUCAACACCACCAACAUGAACGGCGACUCCUACCUCAACUACUUUAACUCGGCACUAACAAGAUUGUGACCUACAUGAGUACCGGAGUUCUGAAUCGCCGUUCCCGGCGACCCACAAUCCUCUUCUACUUGCUGCUUUUCUGUGGCAUUCAUGCUGCUGUUCAUCAAGCUGGUCCAAGGGGAUCUGUGUCUGUUUUGAACCCCAGUGAUCUGUAACCAAAGCGAAAUUAUGUUUUCCCCCCUACCUAAUACCUCAAGGUCUUGUGUAGUACAUUAUCUAUUACACAUUAUACACUGGAUGGUUCGAGCCCUGAAUGCUGUUUGACUGACAGCCGUGGUAUAUCAGACCGUAUACCACAGCCCUGCUCCUGUGUCCCCUCAGAUCAGCACAUCCUGUCCCAGGUACUGGCGUUGCUGGGCGUGUUGGGGGCAUACUGUUUCCUCUACCUCUUAUCCACUGAGCUCUUGCCAACUGUGGUCAGGAACAUGGGCCUGGGUAUGGCCUGGGCAUGGAAGCACGCAUAGAAAGCAUCCUCUCCCCCUACGUCAUCUACAUCAGUGUGGGGGGGGGGGGUUCGUGUGUGUUUGUGGAAGAUUUCAUGCAUUAGCAAGAAUGAAUGUACACUGAACACAAAUAUACAUGCGUCAUACACAUGUUGGUCCCAUGUUUCAUGAGCUGAAAUAAAAAAAAUCACAAAUGUUCCAUAUGCACAAAAAGCUUAUUUCUCUCAAAUUUUGUGCAGAAAUGUGUUUCUACCCCUGUUAAUGAGCAUUUCUCCUUUGCCAAGAUAAUCAAUCCACCUGACAGGUGUGGCAUAUCAAGAAGCUGAUUAAACAGCAUGAUCAUUACACAGGUGCACCUUGUGCUGUAGACAA